GGCAUAAUGUAAUUAAUAUAUGCUGCGGAAACAAAGGAAAAGAAAAAUGUAGGAAAGAGGAGAAAAAAGAAGAGAAAGUUUGGAAGUGAAUGAAAAGGAAGAAGAAAAUGUCAGUACUGAACAUGGUAAUGGAUAGGUGGAGGCCUCAAUUAGAUGCGAUCCUCUCCACCUUCGUGUCCAUCUACCCUCACGAAACCUCACCUCUCCUUCACUCCUCUUCCUGCUUUUUCUUCAUUUUGAGUGCAUAUUUUGUAGUGUUACCAUUGCGGGAUGAAGGUGCAAUCUCUCUAGGUUUAUCGAAGCUUCCAGCUCUCUUUACCGGAUCCUUAUUCCUCACCUUGAUUGCUGCUCCUUUAUCAACUCUCCUUUUCUCUUUCCCUAAUUUCUCUAAAUCCAAGGCUUUGUUUUUGAUACACAGGUUUUUUAGUGUUUCUCUUGUUCUCUUCUUCUUUCUAUGGCAUUUCUCUUCCUCUGCUUCUGCUGAGUUUUCGCUCUUCAAGUCAAAGGGUACUGUUGCUAUAUCAACUGAAUUGAAAGAGGGUUUGAAGGUUGAUGUUGACAGAACCAGUAGUACAUAUUCUGGAAGUUGGGAUGAUCAUGGAUGGUUUUAUAUUUCUGUCAGAAUUGGAUUGUUUCUCUGGGUUGCGCUGCUUAAUCUUAUUACCAUAUCGUCGACUUGGGCUAGGGUUAUUGAUGUGAUGGAUAGUGAGUCAGGUUCAAGAUUGUUUGGGUUCAUUGGUGCUGGUGCUACACUUGGUCAGCUAUUUGGAUCGUUGUUUGCAACAUCAAUGGCUUGGUUGGGUCCUUUUUUACUUCUAUUUGCUGCUUUGUUGAUGGAACUAGCUGCACAGUCAUCAAAAGGGAUCGACAAGGAUGUAUCCCAUCUUCCUCAUGAAUUAUCUCCCAUAAGAAAAGUUGAUGCUGAUCAGCAUAGUGAGGCUGAUGGACGAUCAUCACCAGCUUUCAAAGUCUCUUCUCCAAAGUCUCCUUCAUCCAGGAUGAGGCCUCAGCUUUGGGUCAUCUUAGAUGGGUUUCGGCUUGUAUUAUCUUCAACUUAUUUGUUGAAUGUGUCUCUAUUCCUGUGGCUGAGUGCAGUUAUUUCUUCAUUCUUCUAUUUUCAGAAAGUAACAGUAAUUGCCAUGACUGUUUCAAGCUCUCUUGGAAGAAGAAAAUUGUUUGCCCAGAUAAAUAGCUUCAUUGCUGUUUUUAUCCUUGCUGGACAACUUACUUUAACAAAAGUAACAGUAAUUGCCAUGACUGUUUCAAGCUCUCUUGGAAGAAGAAAAUUGUUUGCCCAGAUAAAUAGCUUCAUUGCUGUUUUUAUCCUUGCUGGACAACUUACUUUAACAGGACGCAUCCUUACUUUAGCUGGGGUUACUGCAGCAAUAUGCUCUGCUCCGGUUGCUGCCUUCUCAAAUUUGGUUGCUAUUGCUGUUUGGCCAACUUGGGUAGCAGUUGCCAUCUGUGAGACUGUACGGAAGGUUUGUCACCAUUGGUCCCUUGCCUGCAGUGAAACAGCAUUGUGGGUGGUUACUUAUGUAGUGACCAGGCCUGGAAGAGAACUUCUGUUUGCUGUGGUCACUCAAGAAGAGAAAUACAAAGCUAAGGUUAGUAGAUGUUUCUGCACAUGUUUAUUUUUAUUGAUUAUGGAUAUGCAGGAAAAGAGUCCUGUUCUCUCUAAAACUGAAGUAUUACUUGUACCUUUGACAACUCCUGAUUUUAGCAUGCCGUAAAAUGUCAUCACAAUCACGUGCACUGUAUUUGCUCUGUAUUUUGGGUCACUUAUCAAUGUACUUGGACGAAGGGUUGGAGAGGAGGAAACAUUCCUUGAAAGCAAAGGUAACUUUUGUCUCUUGGAUUGUGUUUGUUGUGACUAGAAUAUGGUCUAUGAAUGGCCCUCUCUCAUGGACUAAUUCAAUAUUUACAAUCUAAAUAUGGUUGAUGGUGAAUCAACAAACUCUUAAGUUGCUGGAUUGGAUGCUAGUUAUAUGAUGAUAUCCACAAAUUAAAAUAUGUGCGUGGUAUCCAAGACAUUUGUUCUGGGCUGAUCACGUGCACUGUAUUUGCUCUGUAUUUUGGGUCACUUAUCAAUGUACUUGGACGAAGGGUUGGAGAGGAGGAAACAUUCCUUGAAAGCAAAGGUAACUUUUGUCUCUUGGAUUGUGUUUGUUGUGACUAGAAUAUGGUCUAUGAAUGGCCCUCUCUCAUGGACUAAUUCAAUAUUUACAAUCUAAACAUGGUUGAUGGUGAAUCAACAAAACUCUUAAGUUGCUGGAUUGGAUGCUAGUUAUAUGAUGAUAUCCACAAAUUAAAAUAUGUGCGUGGUAUCCAAGACAUUUGUUCUGGGCUGAUCAUUUUCAACUUAUGAAAAAGAAAUAAAUUAAAUAAAAUUAUUUAAAGCAUGUUUAAUUUUUUUUUUCUUGUGUUAACUGCUGGUUCCUCCUUCUUUACUCAAGACUGCUCAAGGCCAUCCAAUGCUUGUAAUUCAUGGCGGUUGUAUGCUGUAACAGUUGGUGAAAUUGAAAGAAGGAGAGACUUACAAUGGGCAUUUGGUCAAUUGUGAUGCUUGGAUGAACAUCCAUCUCCGUUUAGCUUUAAUUUUCUUUAACCCUAAUAUCCUUGAUCUGUUUUAGAUUCCAAAAUUUCCCAUCUCUUUCCAUUCUUUCAUUUUAUGUUCUUGACCCUGGCUUUUCUUGCAGGUUGCUUGAUUUUUCUUUUUGGCUCUAAAAAACAUUACUGCUCAAGGCCACCCAAUGCUUGUAAUUCAUGGCCCUUCUUCCAGGUGUUUUUGAUACGAUGGAUAGACUUAUUGGCUGAAGUCACAACACAAGAACUCUGAACUGUGAAUUUGCUUUAUUGUUUCUUCAUGUGAUAAAUGACUAGUCUGAGCUUCAGUUUUUUUUUCUUGGCUUUUAAUGUAUUGUUAAACUAUUGUGUCUUGUAAUUAAUGUUUGAAAUUUAUUUUUC